ACACUUUUAAUAUAAUCCUAAACUUCAGACUGGUUAUUUUCAUUUGAGUACUGGAGUUUGAGUUUUUGUAGGUUUUUAAUCAGUUUGAACUGCCUGAACCCACGUAAAGGAAACCAUGGAAACGCUGAUUAAUCAAUAGAAAGCCGUAGGAGGACAAUACUGUCAAAAAAGCCCAGACAUCUCAAAUAGAAAUCAGAGCUUCACUCGGCUCACUGGUGCAGUCACAGUGGAAAUGAUAGCAGUUUCAACAGUUACAGCAGCAAAAAUAAUCCCAGAAGAAGGAACAGGCGAAUAAGACCAACUGUGAAAGAUCAGCAGUGAGAGCUGAAGAACAAAGUGAUUUCAUCCUGCACUGAGUCUGGCUGAGGGGGGACCGAGGUCAGCGCAGGGAGGUCAGUGCAGGGUAUCAUUACGCCUCCUUCAGGUGAAGCUGUGCUGGUAAUCACGGAAGAGCUGCUGAGGACUUUGAUAAUAUGAGAGAAGACAACAAUUAUGGAGAGGCUCAUCACAGGGGCUGCAGAUUCUCCCACAGAUUUGAAUGGAGGAAGCUUCCUGUUAGGAGCCCGAACAGCAAGCUGAACAGCAAGCCUGAACAUCCGAGUGAGUCUGACUUUUAAAGGACGAUCUUCAACCUCGAGAAGAACAAGGAGCCCUGAAACAGAUGGACGGCCCCCACAGAGCCCUGAUCAACAUUAUGGAGUCAGUCUGGAAUUACACGAGGCAACAGACGGCAGAGAGCGCCUCAACCCUCACAAGCACUAACGCUGAUGAAGACAAACUGUCUUUUUACAUACAACAGCACGAAACUGAGGUUGUUUUAGUGGUAAACAGCUGAGGAAUUCUUGGUUGUGUGCUGCAAAAUAUCUCAAUUCGUGACUGAAUAAAAACUUAAAUUAUUCAGACACAAACAAAUCCUUUAAUCCGCUAAUCCAUCUAAUUUUAUUCUCACCAAACAAAAUUCCCUCCUGUUCAUAUCAAAGUAGCAGUUGUGGGUUUUGGCGCUGGUCACGGCUCCAUCUUUCCACCACAUGUUUAUCACCGUGACGUCUGUUUUCUUAUUCAAAUGUCACUGUGGAUGUUAGUGUCCAUUUUUAUUGCUUUAUCCCAGCAGAGACCUAGAGAGGGGGAAGCCUCUUUGACCACCAAGGAGCUCAUUUCUGUUAUUCUGCUAUUCAGUUUUCAUUUUCACUAACCUGAGCUUUUCAUUUUGAGUUCAGAAUUUAUUUUGUUUCAAACUGUGAUGUUUUUGACUGAUAACAACUCAGAUCCAAGGAAUGUCCUUCUUUUUCUGAAGAAGACCUGGAAGAAAAACUCCUGAAUAGCUAUUAAAUGGCCUGCGUGCACAUGACGCUAGCAGUGCCAUGA